rfam:Oryza sativa Japonica Group DNA, chromosome 1, cultivar: Nipponbare, complete sequence.
AAUAAGUUUAGUUUUGCACGGUUCAUAUUUAACGUUUGACCGUUUGUCUUAUUUGAAAAAAAAAUUAUGAUUAGUAUUUUUAUUGUUAUUAGAUGAUAGAACCUGAAUAGUACUUUACGUGUGACUUUUUUUAAUAAAAAAUUCAUAAAUUUUUCAAAUAAGACGGACGGUCAAACGUUGGAUACGGAUACCUAUGGCUGCACUUACU